UAUACGAGAGAAAGUAAUUUAAUCACUUCAAAUUAAGUUAAAGAAGUAGAAUAGAUUACAUAUCGUAUGUUGUGUAGAUACAAUUUCUACGAAUAUUUAUUUAUUUUUCAAUGGAAAAAUUUUUCAUACGAGAAAUAGUUGGUUUCAUCAAAUGUGAAAAUUUGAGAUUUUUCAAUGUUAAGUUUUAUUUAAAUUUUUCUUGGCAUUGCCACAUAAGAUAGAAUAGAUAUGUGCAGUAUCAAGCAGAUCCUGUGUUGGCUCAUCAUACGCGUUUGCCUAUUUCGUCUUCUCCUUGUGCAUGUUUGUAUAGGUAAAAUUAAAAGAAGGAAUCUUUCACAUUAAUUUGUCCUCCGGCUGGUGAGAUGUUUCUAUAGUCACUAGGAGGUUCUAGAUGGCUGCCGCAGCCUUACUCGCCUAAAGGUAAAAGGUUUGCAAAAAAUUCAUGUUCUGGCAUGCAAAAAAAACACCCAAGCGAACAUACACAAACAACUGCA